rnacentral:rRNA from 1 species
GACGAACGCUGGCGGCGUGCCUAAUACAUGCAAGUUGAGCGCUGAAGGUUGGUACUUGUACCGACUGGAUGAGCAGCGAACGGGUGAGUAACGCGUGGGGAAUCUGCCUUUGAGCGGGGGACAACAUUUGGAAACGAAUGCUAAUACCGCAUACAAACUUUAAACACAAGCUUUAAGUUUGAAAGAUGCAAUUGCAUCACUCAAAGAUGAUCCCGCGUUGUAUUAGCUAGUUGGUGAGGUAAAGGCUCACCAAGGCGAUGGUACAUAGCCGACCUGAGAGGGUGAUCGGCCACAUUGGGACCGGGACACGGCCCAAACUCCUACCGGGGGGAGCAGUAGGGAAACUUCGGACAUGGACGGAAGUCUGGACGAGCAACGCCGCGUGAGUGAAGAAGGUUUUCGGAUCGUAAAACUCUGUUGGUAGGGAAGAACGUUGGUGAGAGUGGAAAGCUCAUCAAGUGACGGUAACUAAACAGAAAGGGACGGCUAACUACGUG